AGAGUUUGAUCCUGGCUCAGAAUCAACGCUGGCGGCGUGCCUAACACAUGCAAGUCGAACGCGAAAGCCCCGCAAGGGGUUAGUAGAGUGGCAAACGGGUGAGUAACACGUGGGUGACCUGCCUGAGAGUGGGGGAUAACGACCCGAAAGGGUCGCUAAUACCGCAUAACAUCCUGCGUUUGGAGACGCGGAGAUCAAAGCCGGGGACCGCAAGACCUGGCGCUUACAGAGGGGCCCGCGGCCGAUUAGCUAGUUGGUAGGGUAACGGCCUACCAAGGCAACGAUCGGUAUCCGGCCUGAGAGGGCGGACGGACACACUGGGACUGAGACACGGCCCAGACUCCUACGGGAGGCAGCAGUGGGGAAUUGUUCGCAAUGGGCGCAAGCCUGACGACGCAACGCCGCGUGGAGGAUGAAGAUCUUCGGGUCGUAAACUCCUUUCGAUCGGGAAGAACGUUUUCCGGGUGAAUAAUCCGGAGAAGUGACGGUACCGAGAGAAGAAGCCCCGGCUAACUCUGUGCCAGCAGCCGCGGUAAUACAGGGGGGGCAAGCGUUGUUCGGAAUUACUGGGCGUAAAGGGCCAGUAGGCGGCCGGCUAAGUCCGACGUGAAAUCCCCAAGCUUAACUUGGGAACUGCGUCGGAUACUGGCUGGCUUGAAUUCGGGAGAGGGAUGCAGAAUUCCAGGUGUAGCGGUGAAAUGCGUAGAUAUCUGGAGGAAUACCGGUGGCGAAGGCGGCGUCCUGGACCGACAUUGACGCUGAACGGCGAAAGCUAGGGGAGCAAACGGGAUUAGAUACCCCGGUAGUCCUAGCCCUAAACGAUGAAUGCUUGGUGUGGCGGGUAUCGAUCCCUGCCGUGCCGAAGCUAACGCAUUAAGCAUUCCGCCUGGGGAGUACGGUCGCAAGGCUGAAACUCAAAGGAUUGACGGGGGCCCGCACAAGCGGUGGGAGCAUGGUGGUUCAAUUCGACGC
rnacentral:rRNA from 1 species